UACACUUUCAAUGAGAAUAGCGGUGAUCACAUUAGCAAAUUCAUACUAAGGGCGAUGGGGAAAUUUUGAGAAAUCUGGGCGUCUGCUUUGCAUGUAGGCUGUCUUCCCCUCAUUCCCCUCCUCGAUGCCAUAAA